rnacentral:ribozyme from 1 species
AUCAAUACAACUCUAGUAGCGUAAGGAUGCGAGGUCUUUAGAAGUAUAAAAUAAGCUCGUCUUAGCUACUCCUAUUUGUCACCAUCGUACAGAGUGGUAACAUAUCUCCUAACACCUGAGCUUGGGUAUAAGGAGAAUUUCUUAUAGAAGUGCCCGGUAAGGGCAAGCCAACUUAACUAAAUGUUUCAAAUGAGAGAA